rnacentral:rRNA from 1 species
GACGAACGCUGGCGGCGUGCUUAACACAUGCAAGUCGAACGGUGAAGCUCCAGCUUGCUGGAGUGGAUCAGUGGUGAACGGGUGAGUAACACGUGAGCAACCUGCCCCUGACUCUGGAAUAAGCGCUGGAAACGGCGUCUAAUACUGGAUACGAGAAGGGUCCGCAUGGGCACUUUCUGGAAAGUUUUUCGGUUGGGGAUGGGCUCGCGGCCUAUCAGCUUGUUGGUGAGGUAAUGGCUCACCAAGGCGACGACGGGUAGCCGGCCUGAGAGGGCGACCGGCCACACUGGGACUGAGACACGGCCCAGACUCCUACGGGAGGCAGCAGUGGGGAAUAUUGCACAAUGGGCGAAAGCCUGAUGCAGCGACGCCGCGUGAGGGAUGACGGCCUUCGGGUUGUAAACCUCUUUCAGCAGGGAAGAAGCGAAAGUGACGGUACCUGCAGAAGAAGCACCGGCUAACUACGUG